CGCUAACCUUGCCCUCGUGUGGGUGCUAACACGCUAGCAAGCAGCUAAACAGUGCUACAUAUCAACAGCCAUUGUCAGCCAAUCCAGUAGGGGUUGGAAGCUAUGGUGAGCUUCAAUUGGUCACUCACGUUGCGUUAUCGCGGAGGAUUUGAAUAAAAUGUAACUUUAGUUCCGCCCUGUUCAGCUCCCUCGCCCAUGCUCGCAUCGCUCAAUGGUCCCCUGCCCACUCUGCUUCUCUUGCUUUCCUUCCAUUGAAAGUGAAUGGCUUCGAUGUUUCACCGCGCAAUGCCGCUUCCUGGUGUAAACUCACCGUUAGUGUCACUUCUUAUUUAUCAUUCGUGGCUAAUCCCUUUUAAUCUCUGGAAACGCUUUCCUUGCUGGUCCAGUUUAAACACCAAGAUACGUCCUCAUAUAUCUCAGUGGCGCAGCCAAUGAGGAUCUUAAUAGAUACUAAAUACUCCCGGAAUUAAAGGUUCCUGCCUUGGAUGACCGCUUCCAGUGCCAAGAGUAGAGCAUUGCCAUUGCCAACUAUGGGCAGCUAUUGUGUGCCGGGCAUUUCAGACGCCCAGAAAGAAAAUCUGCAUGCUUUUUUCUUUGCUAGUUUGAUCAGUUACCUGAUUGGCCAUUCAGUAUUUAUUGAUUCAGAUACAUUUGAAUAUUAAACAUUAGUUUUAGUCUGAUUAGUAGAGUAUAUUGCCACAUUGUAGUAGCAGCGUUUGAGCACUGGUAGGCAGCAUUGAUGCAGUUUCCAUAGCUGUAGUGAGGUCAGAUGGCGAGCAGUACUGCUUCGCAUUCUCAUCAUUAGCUCUAAGAUAACAUUUUGACAAGACUUUUUCUAGCAUGUGUUAAUAACCACGUCAUGGCUGAAUAACAGCCAUUAUCAAUGCUUUGUGGAUUGUCAGGGAAGGCUCUCUGUAAAUCAGAGGCCUAUCAGUCAGAAUAAGGUAUGCACUGGACCAUGAUAAGGUGCAGUCUGCACUGGACUUCAUAGUGAACACGGAUGUGCGUCACUCUCUAUCACGAUCAGAUCUCAGAACAAUUUCUGUAAUGCCAUGUCGUCAGGUAGAGAAGUACGCAAAGCCCAGACCAGAGUUUAUUUUUGUUUCCCCGUGCCAGUGCCUUCACCCAGUGGGGAAGAGGAGGGAGGGUGGAGAGGUACGUGCCUACUGCCUACAGCCAUGGUGGUCGAUUGGCGGUGCAGUCCUCUAUCAGGACAGGAUGCCGCUCUCUGAAUGUCCUGUGUUUACAGUGGAGCCGCCGCUCCGAGCACCACCCUGGAACAGCCGCCCGCCAGCCCACCCUCCUCACCCCUAAUCACUCAGACUACCCCCUACUCACCUGCUCCCUGCCCCUUAGAGGGAGACAAGUCUGCACUCUCCAACUUUCCCAUUGAAUUUGAUAUUGAUUCUGUAGGGCUAACCAUUUGGUCUGGCUGAUGAACAUGUCAUAUGGCCUUUCCCACACAGAUGCUGGUGUUGCUGGACUCCUUAAUGGAAAAGAAAGACCACGAAGAUGACCUUACAUACCAGUAAGGAGGAAGGAUCUUGGUUUGUGUUUAGCCCUCUCCCUUUCCAGAUUCUUUAGGCUGGACCAGAUGCAGACGAGGGCCAUUCCUUUGCCAUGCUGGUGCUACAGGGGACUGUCUGUGAUGUCUCAAUCGGUGGUGUCUGGCUCCACCGUGGGAAGCAGAUGACUUUGAGCUGUAGGACCAGUGGCUGGAGGAUGUGCAAGCAAGUGAUGGCAGAUGGAAGGACCAUCAAAGCAAGGGAUUGAAAAGGCAUUGCGGAGGACCAGAGGAUCAAAGCCCUGGUCUAUUGACCAAUCCUUUCUAACACGAUGUCGAGUACAAAUCUAUUAUUGAGAUGAGUAGCUCAGCCAAUAAAAGUAAAAUCACUAUUAACAAUUCGUCCUGUUCAUAGCAGUGAAAAUGUUUACAUUAUUUGUUAUAAACAGAUUGUUUUUGAUUCAAUUCUGUCACAUACAGUAUUAGUCAUGUUUAUGGAAAUGCAAAAAGGUUAGUGCAAUCAGGACUAUGUGUGACCUGUGGAUUUGCUGCCAAGUUUAUACUACACUUAUGUGGGAAAUAAAGUACUGUUUUGAUCCUGAACUUCUGUUCCUUAUCUCCUCGUGCUUUUGAAUGGCAUCAUACAAUUAGGAUACCUCCUUUUAACCACUUCAAGUGUUAUUGGAUCGGCUGUUGGCAGUUAUGAAUGGUCAGCAGCAACACUUAGAUUUCAUCAUGUUCAGCGGAUAUUCUCAUGCUUCCCAAGUGACAGCAAAUCAGGUAAGCGGCGGAGUGGAUUCAAACUCUGAAUUUUGAUAUCACCAGGUGAAAGUUGCGUUGGUCUAUAGCUAAUCAAGUGUGGAUUUUUCUUUAAAUAUCUUCAAUAGCCUUGUAUUACUUAUAAUGUGUUCAUUUUAGGGUAUAACAUUUUUUAUUGCAGAAUAUUGAUAUGAUUAUUAGAAAUGUUAAUAUACUGUAGUUGCCCAACAAUAUCUCCAAUUGUAUGUCAGGAUGUUAUGUUUGGAUGAUCAGCAUCCUGAGUAUAUUAUGUAAUUUAUAUGUUCCUGUGGGAAAUGGCUCACAUGAUUGAACUAUUCACAGCUCAUUAGAAAUAAAAGUACUGAGGGGUUUCCAUCUGGUUGUUAAUGUUUUGAGUUGGUGUCUUUGAAUGGGGAGCUAAUUUGGUUGCUUUCCUGGACCUCUGCUGGAGCUCUUUCUCUCUGCCAGGGCAUCUUCAGUCCUCUCAGCAAGGAUCUAUGAAUCAAGUUUCCACCAACUUAUAGUCAUUGAAUCAUUGGAAUCACGUGUGAUGAAUGUGCUUUUGUGCUUGUGUUUAAAUGUCAAGCUCAGACUCAAAGUCUGAACCAGGGUUCCCCAACUGGCGGC
rnacentral:lncRNA from 1 species